AAGCGUCAAAGCUCACUCAACAUAAAACCCUUUAAUCAGUAUAAUAAACUCUAAACCCACAAUUAAUACUGAGCUGUUCUAUACUAUAUAGAAGCACUUAUGCUAGAACUAGUAAUGUGAAUACACAAUUCUCCAAAAUGUGAGUGUAAAUCAGAUCGAAUAAGUCACUGAUACUUAACGUCCUCUUUGAGACCCUUGCAACAACAAAACAAGAAAACCAUGCACUAAACACCGUUAACCUAACACAAGAACAUUCCAGGAAAGAUUAAAAGACGCAGAAGGAACUCGGCAAACUAUGAACCCCGCCUGUUUACCAAAAACAUCGCCUCUUGCCAAUAACCAUGUAUAAGAGGUCCAGCCUGCCCAGUGACUAUAUGUUCAACGGCCGCGGUAUUCUGACCGUGCAAAGGUAGCGUAAUCACUUGUCUUUUAAAUAAAGACUGGUAUGAACGGCACCACGAAGGUUCAACUGUCUCCUGCAUCCAAUCCAUUAAACUGACCUCCCCGUGCAGAGGCGGGGAUAUAACCAUAAGACGAGAAGACCCUAUGGAGCUUUAAACUAAAGGCAACUGCCAAACCAUUCAACCCACAAGGAUAAACAAUAAAACAAGCAGAAAUUGACCUAAAGUUUUCGGUUGGGGCGACCAUGGAGAAUAAAAAAUCCUCCUUGAAGAAUAGGGCUUACAACCCUUAACCAAGAACCACUAUUCUAAGUAACAAAAUUUAUGACUGCAAUUGAUCCAGUCCUACUGAUCAACGAACCAAGUUACCCUAGGGAUAACAGCGCAAUCCAUUUCAAAAGUUCCUAUCGACAAAUGGGUUUACGACCUCGAUGUUGGAUCAGGGCAU
rnacentral:rRNA from 1 species